GUGAGUAUCUGUAUGUGAGUGUUUCUCUGUACCUUGCAGGUCGCAGUGUUUUCUCAGUCAUGCUGCAGCCUAUGCGGAUAAAGCCCCAUCAGAGCAAGGUAAAAAGAACUGCUUGCGAAGCAGAGGCGCUGUGCACCUCUGAGCCAGGGCAGCUGGAUAAUGGGAGAGAAAUGGGACGGUGGAGUCGUGCCAGUGUUCCCAGGGCUACCUGCUCCAGCUGAAGCUGCGUGAUGUGCUGGGAAAUCAGGUCUCCCAGCAUGACCUCCACGUAGGGGAAGCUGGAGCCAGCUGUGGGUCUCUGCGUGCGUGUGGACUGCACCUCCUUCAGGGGGAAUUUCACCAUCAGCUCCUGCAAAGGGAGAGACAAAUAAUUUUUUCCCUCUAAAUCCGGUUUAAGCCGUGUAAGACUUCGCAUUAGACUUGGGCAACUGCGCCACACUCAGAACUGUCGCUGCUGCUCUGGAUGAAGAAGAAGGAUGAGCCGAACAUGGAGAAGGCGCUCACCAGCCCUGGACAUACAGGCAAAGUCAAGCGGAGGAGAAAAGAGAAGACAUGUGAAAUACGUUUACCAGCAUUGGAAGUGUCCUAUAUGCAAAACAGGGUCUAAAAAAAGAGAUCAAAAAAGAGAGAAAUGGGAGGAGAAGAGAGUUUAUCAGUGGACUCCCAAGAAUAUACAUUUAUACUCUCAGCGACUUAGCUUUCUGGCAGGGGGGGGGCUGCUGGAACUGCAUUUAAACGUAUUGCACUUAAAAAAAUAA